ensembl:lncRNA
AUGCACACACACAGGCAAGCACAGUCACACACACACAAAGUCAUGCACACAGUCAUGGACACACAGGCAUGUACACACACAUUCAUAUACACAGGCACACACACACAGGCAUGCACACACACAGUCAUAUACACAGGCACACACACAGUCACGCACACACACAGGCAAGCACAGUCACACACAUACAAAGUCAUGCACACAGUCAUGCACACACACAGGCAUGCACACACACAGUCAUAUACACAGGCACACACACACACAGUCAUAUACACAGGCACACACACACAGGCACACACACAGUCAUGCACACAGGCACGCACACACACAGUCAUGCACACAGUCAUGCACACACACAGGCAUGCACACACACAGUCAUAUACACAGGCACACACGCAGUCAUGCACACACAGGCAUGCACACACACAGUCAUAUAACAGGCACACACACACAGUCAUGCACACACACAGGCAUGCACACACACAGUCAUAUACACAGUCACACACACACAGGCACACACACAGUCAUGCACACAGUCAUGCACACACACAGGCAUGCACACACACAGUCCUAUACACAGGCACACACACGGUCAUGCACACACACAGGCAUGCACACACACAGUCAUAUACACAGGCACACACACACAGUCAUGCACACACACAGGCAUGCACACACACAGUCAUAUACACAGGCACACGCACACACAGGCAUGCACACACACAGUCAUAUACACAGGCAUGCACACACAGGCACACACACAGAGUCAUACACACAGGCACACACACACAAAGUCAUGCACACAGUCAUGCACACACACAGGCAUGCACACACACAGUCAUAUACACAGGCACACACAGGCAUGCACACACACAGGCAUGCACACACACAGUCAUGCACACACAGGCAUGCACACACACAGUCAUAUACACAGGCACACACACAGUCACGCACACACAGGCACACACACACACAGUCAUACGCACAGGCACACACACACAAAGUCAUGCACAGAGUCAUGCACACAGUCAUGCACACACACAGUCAUAUACACAGGCACACACACACACAGGCAUGCACACACACAGUCAUAUAUACAGGCACGCACACACAGGCACACACACACACAGUCAUACACACAGGCACACACACACAAAGUCAUGCACACAGUCAUGCACACACAGGCAUGCACACACACAGUCAUAUACACAGGCACACACAGGCAUGCACACACACAGGCAUGCACACACACAGUCAUGCACACACAGGCAUGCACACACACAGUCAUAUACACAGGCACACACACAGUCACGCACACACAGGCACACACACACACAGUCAUACGCACAGGCACACACAAAGUCAUGCACAGAGUCAUGCACACAGUCAUGCACACACACAGUCAUAUACACAGGCACACACACACACAGGCAUGCACACACACAGUCAUAUAUACAGGCACGCACACACAGGCACACACACACACAGUCAUACACACAGGCACACACACACAAAGUCAUGCACACAGUCAUGCACACACACAGGCAUGCACACACACAGUCAUGCACACACAGGCAUGCACACACACAGUCAUAUACACAGGCACACACACAGUCACACACACACAGGCACAUACACACAGGUAUACACAGCAUACUUGCACACAGGUACAGGCACACAUGUAUACAUGCACACACACAGGUGCACAAGGCACACAUGUAUACAUGCACACAUACAGGUGCCCGUACAUGUGUGCCAGUGUGCUUGUGUACCUGCAUACACGCACACAUCACCACCAAGGCUCUAAAUGCAGCUGCAGUGAACUUCAUGUUGUUGAAAAGAAAAUCUCCUUCUGUGCUGCCGAGUAGGGUCCCUGGCAGCUCCUCCUGCUCUGGCCCCUGA